rnacentral:rRNA from 1 species
UACGUAGGGUGCAAGCGUUGUCCGGAAUUAUUGGGCGUAAAGGGCUCGUAGGCGGUCCGUCACGUCGGGAGUGAAAACUUGGGGCUUAACCCCAAGCCUGCUUCCGAUACGGGCGGACUAGAGGUAGGCAGGGGAGAACGGAAUUCCUGGUGUAGCGGUGAAAUGCGCAGAUAUCAGGAGGAACACCUAUUGCGAAGGCAGCGCGCUGGGACGUUACUGACGCUGAGACGCGAAAGCGUGGGGAGCGAACAGG